rnacentral:lncRNA from 1 species
UUCNGGAGUGUAGGGUUGUGAUGUAGCCUAUUGAGGUCACAGUUCUCUAGCAUCGGUUGAGUUUCAAAUCAAAUCAUAAAACCCAACAACCAAUAUACAUUUAUUAAUUUGUAAACUUCCGAGCAAGUGACGAAUUUGAUGUUUCUAUGGGCAAUUUUGCCCAAAUAGUGCAAAAGCGAGCUAUUAUCUUCUUUCUCUGCUUCCUCCUCCUCCCCUCCAUAUAAUCCUCAAAUCUUAAUUCUCUUAUGCUGUUCAUUUUACUACAUUAUCUUUGAUCCAUUUAAACCCUAUGUAACAAUGCUCAACCAUCACCAACAAAAAGUUUGAUGUAUGUACACUUGGUGCAUGUUGGGUACACAACACUUGAUAGGACUUAAUAGUAUAAUAAACAAGAUUUUAGCUUCUUUUUCUUAGUACCAUCGAGAACUAUCCAACCAUUUCUACCAAUCAUGCAGUCCGAGUUUAUCUGUUGUGCUCAUAAAUUCUCGUUGUCUGCAAUGCUUCAUAUGUACAAUUGAUAGCCUAUGAAUUUUCAUGAUUGUAAGCAGUGGUGAAUCCAGGAUUUUAAUUGAGCACGGGCGGCCGUUAACUGUCGACAGUCGCAAUAAUAAUCAAUGCCGUGAGUUGAAAUUACUUAGCCCCCAUUUGGCCCCCAUUAUUUGGAUUUAUAAUGGGGGAAUAGUGUUUUUGUUUUUUUGUUUUUUUUUUGUUGUAAAAGAAUGAAAAUUCUUCUAUUUACAUGUAAUAGUAUUUUAUUGAAGAUUGCGUAGUUGAAAAUAGAAAAGAGAAAAUUUUAAAUUAAAUUGAUAAGUUUUGAAGGGGGCCAAACUGGGGCUUAUAUCGCAGUUCGAAUUAUAACUGUGAGUGUACGUUAUCUAAUCCAAUGUAAUAAUGCUUAUCGAGUAAAAAUUUGAAGUGUGAAAAAUGGUCCAAUUAUUUACUUUCUUGGUUCGAUUUGCCAAUAAUUUCAGUUUAAUAGAAAAAAAAAAGUGAAUAUUUUAAUAAUACCACUGUAAGGUCGAAGUUUAUUUUUCUAAAAAUGGUGGGUGUAUAUCUUUACUUGAUAAAAGAAUAUAUAAAUUUUGUUGCUUGUAUUGUCAACAACCAUCAACUGCCUUAGUGGUCAAAUUGUUCAUGAUUCCAACGGAGAUCAUAGGUUCAAAUCUUCCAUUUGCACCAAUUUUAAUGCCUAUUUGCUCCAAAAUGGUGAAAAAUUUUAAACUAAAAUAAUUUCAAAAGGGAUUGCAAGAGUUGAGAAUCGAACCCGAGACAUCCUUACAUUUCUAUGGUGUUCUAACCAAUUGAGCAACAGCGACUUUGUGUGAAUCAAAGGAAAUCACAGAAAUAUAUCUAAAACAACUUGACAGCUAAAAAAAUUAGGAAAAAUGGCAGCCGAGGUACCAAAUCUUUCGUUUAUUAGCAAACUUUGCCCAAACCUUUAGUUUGUGCCAUCGGAGGUAAUAAACCUUCAAAAAAUGCGCACCUGGAGUUCAAAUUGACAGAAAUUAUUAGUUUG